CAAAGCCAACACUGAACUCAGGCAGGAGUGUGGAAGGGACCUGAGUGUUGCUUUCACUGGGGACCUGAGUCACCGUGGUGGUGGCGGCAGGGACAUCACAUCUGAGCUGUGUUGGGCUGUAUAAACAAUCAUCCUCUUGGCUUACGCUGUAAUUACAUCUCCUUGGACACUCAUUAGUGUGGUGGAUCUGCACUUCAAUAAUAACAAUAACGGUGUGAGAAGAUGUGAUUAAUAAAAGCAAGACCCUUAUGAUGCCAGCAGCUCUUACCCAUUUUUCAUAUGAGAAGAUGUGAGACAUGGGACACAGAAGAUGCAAGUGCAGAUACUUGGUGGUAUGAAUGCUAUGGAACUACGCUGCUCACUCGAUGCUGGGG